rnacentral:lncRNA from 1 species
CCAUGAGCAAUAGGCCUAGCGGACGCGGGCUCGCAUCCCAGAAAAGCGAAAGGAUCCCACGUAUCGGACUCAAACGCAUAACAAGCUGGGAGGCCUUUCGAUCGGCCAUGGAAGUUUCCCCCAAAGUAAUACGCAGCUCACGCCCCCGCAAAUAGAGGUUUCUCCAUUCGAGUCAUGGAUUGCAUUAGAUGCAAAAGCCGUGACGAGACAGCCCCGGUGUGAGGGAGCCGCACCA